GGAUAUCGAUGAAACCAUCAAAUUCGCAAUCUUCUGUACUCUCCGAAAUCCCGUCUAUCUUUCCAACAAAUACUCCAUCCGUGAAACCCUCAUCUCAACCUAGUGACA
rnacentral:ribozyme from 1 species